rnacentral:rRNA from 2 species
ACCUGACUGCUAUCGGAUUGAUACUAAGCCAUGCGAGUCAUUGUAGCAAUACAAGGCAGACGGCUCAGUAACACGUAGUCAAUCUAACCUAUGGACGGGGAUAACCUCGGGAAACUGAGAAUAAUACCCGAUAGGCCACCAUGCCUGGAAUGGUUUGUGGCCCAAAUGAUUUAUCGCCGUAGGAUGGGACUGCGGUCUAUCAGCUUGUUGGUGAGGUAAUGGCCCACCAAGGCUAUAACAGAUACGGGCUCUGAGAGGAGAGGCCCGGAGAUGGGUACUGAGACACGGACCCAGGCCCUAUGGGGCGCAGCAGGCGAGAAAACUUUGCAAUGUGCGAAAGCACGACAAGGUUAAUCCGAGUGUUUUCUGCUAAAGAAAUCUUUUACCGGUCUUAAAACCACCGGCGAAUAAGGGGUGGGCAAGUUCUGGUGUCAGCCGCCGCGGUAAAACCAGCACCUCAAGUGGUCAGGAGGAUUAUUGGGCCUAAAGCAUCCGUAGCCUGCCGUGUAAGUUUUCGGUUAAAUCUAUGCGCUCAACGCAUAGGCUGCCGGAAAUACUGCACGGCUAGGGAGUGGGAGAGGUAGACGGUACUCAGUAGGAAGGGGUAAAAUCCUUUGAUCUAUUGAUGACCCCCUGUGGCGAAGGCGGUCUACUAGAACACGUCCGACGGUGAGGGAUGAAAGCUGGGGGAGCAAACCGGAUUAGAUACCCGGGUAGUCCCAGCUGUAAACAAUGCAAACUCAGUGAUGCAUUGGCGUAAGAGCCAGUGCAGUGCCGCAGGGAAGCCGUUAAGUUUGCCGCCUGGGAAGUACGUACGCAAGUAUGAAACUUAAAGGAAUUGGCGGGGGAGCACCACAAGGGGUGAAGCCUGCGGUUC